rnacentral:lncRNA from 1 species
UUCUCAAUGCCAAGCAGGAAAUUGAACUAAAUCUUUACCUGGAGAAGCCAGUGCAUUUUUUCCAAUUACCUAACUGACAAAAUGGUGUGAUCAGAGCUACAGAUCAAAACACACUCAGAAAUGUUUGACAAACAACAAUGAUAAUUGAAAAUCAACUGUCUCAAGAGUGGCUCUUCUGGUGCACUUUGGAACUGCCUGUGUAAACAUUUCUCUUGUGCAUUCUCCUCUGCCCUAAGCUGGAGGGAAAGUCUAGCCUGGAAAGAGGCAAGAAUGAGCAGAAGUCAGAGGCAUUAAAUCAUCUGUCAGAAAUGCCACCUAAUAACCAACACCCAGCACCUAGUACUAAGCUCCCAGCAUCCAGUACUCAACACCCAGCACCAAGUACUCAGCACCCAGUACUCAACAUCCACCGCAGUUCUUUUGUUGAUCUUUUGUCAGAUCCCCUGGAAAUGGAUUUCCACCACAUCACAGUCCUACUGUUGGGACAGUAUUUGUCUCUCAUCUGAGGCCGGUGAUCUGGGCUUGGGCUAGUCCAACCUCUUGAGAAGCAGUAAAUCGCAAAGUAAUUGUUACUUGGCAGAUGUAUUAAACAUGGGUGGGCCUAAGACAUGAUCAGCAGGAAUAACAUUGGAUUGUUUGACUGAGGACAAACUGGACACAGAAGCAAAUAAAGGAAAUGCAGGGGCAAGAACAACACAGGAUGUUUGCCACCACCAUGGAAAGACACAAGAGCCCCAGUAAGGGCGCAGCUCUGAGAGAGUGAGAGAGUGAAACCGUGGGUUCACAAUGCAAGACUGAGCCAACUCCAUCAGCAUUUUAAUGGAAAGUUACUUUAGCUUACCUUGGGUCUCAUGUAUUCAGCUUCCAGAGAUGGUGUGCUCUCUGCAGCCCUCUGCAGUGCCCUCUUGAUGUAGCUCGAGGGGAAAGCAUGCGAUUAGCAUACACUUAAAAAAAAUCUAUCAUCUUUCUUCUGGAUCCUGAACAUAACUCAUUCUGAAACUUCACUUCUACUCCCUGGGGAGUAGCAAGAGGCAGAGCGUGUGGAUCAGAAAAGAAAAUGGACAGAUAUGCAUGAAGUGCGGAUGAGAUAAUGCCUGGUUAUGUGUUGCCAAGGCUUCUCUUACCCUUGAUUUCUGCAUCUUCCCAGACCCCCUGAGAGGUCAGGAGUAGGUGGAAGCAUUCCUUCUUCAAAACAAGUUAGACCGGCUCAGAACAUGUCACUGUGAAAAGAAAAUGCCCCCAUGGAUGUACGAGGCUGGGUGCCAGUUCCCUCAGCCUUACCACCUGUUCUGGGCACCUAUUCAGUGUUUCAGAAUGAUCCUAUUAGCUGAGUCUUCUAGGUUAGAGAAAUGAUCGCAGGGGCAGAGGCGAAUGGAGUCCUCAGAGACGAAGCAGUCGGCUGAGAACAUCCAGUCGAAGGAAAGCGACAGGUGAUUGGAGGAAAGCAUCAUUGAGGUAAAGCCAUCAUUCCAAAAGCACUGAAGGCAACUUCACCUAAAACAGAGAGUCAGCUUUGAGCAAAUACACAGCUGGCCUCAGGCCACACAGCAAUCUGAGAUGGGCAGCUGAACCAAGAAGAAUAUCGACAUCAGCCCUUGACGCAAGCAACUGGGAAUUUAUCAAUCUCUGGGGUUAGGGGGAUGGGAUCCCAAUACUUAAAUUCAAUAGAGUAAUUGGAGUUUUUAAUUAAUAAUUUUAUUAUUUUCUUGAUUGAACACUGGCAUGGAAGAGGC